UUCUCUACUUCCUUUAGGUAUAAGGUUAGAUUGUUUAUUUGAGAUUUUUCUUGUUUCUUGAGGUAGGCUUGUAUUGCUGUAAAAUUCUGUCUUAGAACUGCUUUUUCUGUGUCCCAUAGGUUUUGGAUCAUCGUGUUUUCAUUGUCAUUUGUCUCUAGAUAUUUUUUUGAUUUCCAUUUUGAUUUCUUCAGUGAUCUCUUGGUUAUUUAGUAAUGUAUUGUUUAGCCUCCAUGUGUUUGUGUUUGUUACAUUUUUUCCCUAUAAUUGAUAAUCUCAUAGUGUUGUGGUCAGAAAAGAUGCUUAAUAUGAUUUCAGUUUUCUUAAAUUUACUGCGGCUUGAUUUGUGACCCAAGAUGUGAUCUAUCCUGGAGAAUUUUCUGUGCGCACUUGAGAAGAAAGUGUAAUCAGCUGUUUUUGGAUGGAAUGUACUACAUUAGUUAAGUCUCUUUGGUCUAUUGUGUCAUUUAAAUCUUGUGUUUCCUUAUUUAUUUUCAUUUUGCAUGAUCUGUCCAUUGGUGAAAGUUGGGUGUUAAAGUCCCCUACUAUGACUGUGCUACUGUUGAUUUCCCCUUUUAUGGUUGUUAGCAUUUGCCUUAUAUAUUGAGGUGCUCCUAUGUUGGGUUCAGAUGUAUUUAUAAUUGUUACAUCUUCUUUUGCAAUUGAUCCCUUGAUCAUUAUGUAGUGUCCCUCCUUGUCUCUUGUAAUAUUCUUUAUUUUAAAGUAUAUUUUAUGUGAUAUGAAUAUUGCUACUCCAGCUUUCUUUUGAUUUCCAUUUGCAUGGAAUAUCUUUUUCCAUCCCCUCACUUUCAGUCUCUAUGUGUCCCUAGGUCUGAAGUGGGUCUCUUGUAGACAGCAUAUCUACAGGUCUUGUUUUUUGUAUCCGUUCAGCCAGUCUGUGUCUUUUGGUGGGAGCAUUUAAUCCAUUUAAAUUUAAGGUAAUUAUCAAUAUGUGUGUUCCUAUUACCAUUUUCUUAAUUGUUUUGGGUUUGUUAUUGUAGGUCUUUUCCUUCUCUUGUGUUUCUUGGCUAGAGAAGUUCCUUUAGCAUUUGUUGUAAAGCUGGUUUGGUGGUGCUGAACUCUCUCAGCUUUUGCUUGUCUGGUAAGGUUUUAAUUUCUCCAUCAAAUCUGAAUGAGAUCCUUGCUGGGUGGAGUAAUCUUGGUUGUAGGUUUUUCUCCUUCAUCACUUUAAACAUUUCCUGGCACUCCUUUCUGGCUUGCAGUGUUUCUGCUGAAAGAUCAGCUGUUAACCUUAUGGGGAUUCCCAUUUGUGUUAUUUGUUGUUUUUCCCUUGCUGCUUUUAAUAUGUUUUCUUUGUAUUUAAUUUUUGAUAGUUUGAUUAAUAUGUUUCUUGGUGUGUUUCUCCUUGGAUUUAUCCUGUAUGGGACUCUCUGUGCUUCCUGGACUUGAUUAACUAUUUCCUUUCCCAUAUUAGUGAAGUUUUCAACUAUAAUCUCUUCAAAUAUUUUCUCAGUCCCUUUCCUUUUCUCUUCUUCUUCUGGGACCCCUGUAAUUCGAAUGUUGGUGCGUUUAAUAUUGUCCCAGAAGUCUCUGAGACUGUCCUCAGUUCUUUUCAUUCUUUUUUCAUUUCUUUUUUGAGUGCUGCAGUAUUCUGAUAGAUUUUUUGUGUCUGAACAACAUUCCAUAAUAGAAAGAGAUAAGUAUUAAAAUGUAAAGGGAACUUUGUGAGGUUCUUGACAAAUAUAAAUUUAAUGACAGAAAUCCUGAUUACAGAUAAAUUUUUCUCAGAACCACAAUGCCCUAUGUUCAAUGUUGAAUGAAGUAUGGUUUGUAAAACUCAGCAUGAUAUUCUAAAUAAGCUAUAUUGUAUAACAAGCAUAACUAUUUUUAUAUUAUUUUCUCAAAUUUCAUCUGUUUGUAGCUACUAUUCCCAACUAAUAUUUGGUAACACACAGCGUGAUCUGCAGGAAUACUAAGAGAUAGUUUAAAUGUAAAUUCUUUUUUGUCUUGUUACAACCUAAAUUUUCAAAAGCAUUAAAACUUCAAUAGAAUUAAUUAAUGCAAGAACAGUGAUGAUAUUUCAUAAUACUUAUCAUUUAGGUGGACCUUAUAAUUCUUCACAGAGGUUUUGGCCACCUUACUCUCUUCUCACAUAAUUUACCAAGAUUGUUAGACAUCAAAGUAAAGAAAUAAAAUGUAAUGCUCUGUUAUGCAAAGUAGAAGUUUGCCUUUUUGGUAAUGUAACAUUUCCUUAGGCAAUUCUUUACCUUAAAUACAGGAUAUUUAAGGACAGAUUUUCUGCCAUUAGCAUAUGCCCUAUUAAAUAUAUCACUGCCCAGAUGUUAGAAUACAAAGCUGAAAUCAAACAAGAGGACAUGCUCCAUUUCUGAUUCUUGAGUAAUAGCUUCUGUUCAUUAAACUCUAUCUUUAUGUUUGGCCAGUAAUACUUGUCUGCCGUGCAGAAGGUGAGGAUCUGUAUUGUUAAACAAUCAAAUGGUAUGAUUCCUCAUUCUUUCACGUGGAAAAGCAUUAUCAUCCAACUCUUAUAAGUGCUAAAUUGAGGGCAAGGUUGUAAAUAAAACCAUUGGCUUUGGAGUCAGAAAAACGAGCUUGAAUUCCAGGUUUGAAUAUAUUAGCUGAAUAGCUCUGUAGUAUCCUGAAUCCUCAUUUAUUUCACUUCAAAAUGAGUACAGUAUUGGUACUUUCUCAUCAGGUUACUAUGAAUCAAAUAGGAAAUACUCAGUAAAUAUUUAUGAGUUAACUUUAAGUCAUAAUUACCACAAUGUAACUCACAUUUCUGGACACCAUGGUUAAGGAGGUAUGUACUUUUAUCCUGGUAGUUUUAAGUGCAGCCUCUGCAUCACUAGCAGUAGUUGAUUGGGUUUAUGGUCGGUUUACUAUUUGGGAAUUUUAUUCCUAUUUGAUAUUUAUUUAACACCCGCAGUGUUUGCUAUACCUUGACAAGGCCUAUAAAACACACAGUCAUUGCCCUUGUGGAGUUUCCAUUUAUAAGAAAACAAACUGGGAAGAAACGAACCAGUUGCUCAAGGUAUUUGACAUUCAUUUAGGUCAGAGAAUGUUAUUUGUCCUACAAUUCCAUAUCAGUAAGUGUCCAACCUAAGUGGUCCUUUUAGUAAGAUUCUCCAAAAUACAUUUUGAGGAGGGAAAAUGAGUAUUUUAUGAUAUAUGAGAUGGAAGAUUUCUAAAGGAGUAUUUAAGAAGUUUCCUAUUUCUGCACUCUAAAGUCAAUGCAGAGAUACUAAAGGACCAAUAAAGUGUGUAUGUUGCAGGUGUUCAGGAGAAAAUAACAUGAAACGUAAAUAGACAGUUCACACUUAGAAUGAGCUGAUGAUCUUCUCUUGCAGCACCACUGAAACAUAUAUUAUUAGAACUGGAUCUAUGUAAUUCCCACCCACUUACCUUUGUCUCAGAAUUUAUAAAUCUCUUACUUUAUCUCCAUUUUGUACUCCUGUUUCUCAUCAGAUAGCUUAUCCUGACUCCUUUUCUUUCUGUCUUCUCUAGGACUUAGUUCAGUCAAUUUUCUUGCCCUCUUCAGUCUUGAAUCCAUUAUCCACUGGUAUCUUUCCUUCAGUCUACAAACAUAUUCAAAAGUGAACCAUGCUAAAAGCAAAUCAUAGUAACUAAAAUCUCUCCUUGACUCUGUUUUCCUUACCAAAAUAACCCCCAUCAUUCUGUUUUCUUUCAUAUCUUGACCUCCUAAAGAAAGUCUCCAACUCUUCAUCUAUAUUUCACUUAUCCAAUUCCAGUAUACUCUCUAUAGAAACUAUUCUCUUAAGUAUUAAUGGUGACUUCUUAAUUACUAGGCCCUGUAUCCUAAUCUCCCUCUUCACUUUCCUGAUCUCUUCAGCAUUUGAUAAUGUUCAUCUAUCCUUCCAUAAAAAUCUGUUCUCCAUUGUAUUCUCCAAAAUCACUCCUGUAGCUUUUUCUCUCUAACUCUGAUUCCUUGACUAAAUCCUCUUUCUAUGUCCCAUAAAGCCAGACCAUGUUUCCUGUGAGUUGUUCACAAGGUAUAGGUAGUUCUAGGGAUGUGCAUUUAGUGAAGGCAGUACUGUGAAAAUUACUCCAUGAUCAUCCAUGGAGUAGAUGAGAGAUGAGUAUCCUGCCAAGAUAACAGACAGUGGAAAUAACAGAGAUUGGAGUCUUCCUGGAAGUUAAAAUUGACAUCAAAUUAAGUAAGGUGUGUCCUGGACUUCCCUGGUGAUGCAGUGGUUAAGAAUCUGCCUGGCAAUGCAGGGGACAUGGGUUCAAGCCCUGACCUGGGAAGGUCCCACAUACCGCUGAGCAACUAAGCCCAUGCACCACAACUACUGAGCCUGCGCCCUAGAGCCUGUGAGCCACAACUACCGAGCCUGCAUGUGCCACAACUACUGAAGCCCAUGCACCUAGAGCCCGUGCUCCGCAGCAAGAGAAGCCACCGCAAUGAGAAGCCCAUGCACCACAAUGAAAAGUAACCCCUGCUCGCCGCAACUAGAGAAGGUCUGUGUGCAGCAACGAAGACCCCACACAGCCAAAAAUAAAUAAAUAAAAUAAUUUUUUUUUAAAGUAAUGUGUGUACCAAUAACCAGGACUUCAGCUUUGGUAAUGGCAAACAAUAAUUUGGACCAACCAUCCCACUCAGAACAACUAGAAAACCUAGAAAAGAUUUUUUUAAUAAGAAUUCACUUUGAAAGCACCAGAGGGUUAAUAAGGCAGUGAAAAAUAUCCAGGAGAAGAAGGAAACCCAAAGAGGUUAGCCCAGCAUUUGUAGCUGCCAGUUGCCAAUUCCAGAAGUGGCAGCUGAGAAACUAAACAGAACUUCUGAUGACAGUCUUUAGGGAGUACAGGUGAACUCAAAGCCAACUGGACCUUGAAGGAACUGAAGCUCAGUUUCAAAUUAUCUUAGUCCUUGAAUUGGAUUAAAUUGAUCCUGGAUGCUAGAGUCCCUAAAUGCCUCAUAAAAGCAAUUUUAGAUACUCUUUUGGGAAAAACAAAUUCUUACACACAAAUCAUUUCAGUAAUAUUUCAUAUUUAGUGUCCAUCACUAAAUCAGAAAUUAGUCAGUCAUGAAGAGACAAAGCAUGAUUUUUAAAAGAGAGAAAAAUCCAGGUAAUAAAACGCACUAGGGCAGGGGAGUAUUCAGACAAAUGCUGUAAAUAUGUUCAAGGAAAAUAAACUGGAAAGUAUAAAGAAUAAAACAAAAAUUAUAGAACUGAAAAAUAUAGUACCCAAGCUUAUGAACUCAGUGGACUGGUUUAUGAGCAGAUUAUACACAGCUAAAGAUAAAUAGUGAACUAGAAGUUAUUUCAGAAGGAAAUAUCCAGAAUAAAGCAUGGAGACAAAAAGAAAAAAAAAAGAGUACAAGAGGCAUUGGAGUUACAAUGAGAAGUCUAAUUCAUGUGUAAUUAGAAUCCCAAAAGGAGAAAUAAAAUAGAACAGAAGCCACAUUUGGAUAGAGAAUGGCUGAGAAUGUCCCCAAACUGAUGAAAGACAUCAAGUUACAGUUUCAAGGACCCCCAAAACUUCCUAGGAACAGCAUCUUAAAACCCACUGGAAGCCAAAAUCAUAGGCAAUGCACAUUCUCAGGGAAUAUGGCUCACAUAAUCUUUUGAGGGGAGGGGGUACUGAUGGAAUCCAGCAAACCAAAAUACAAAACAAAAUAUCAGUUAAGGGAGAAGUUUGAUAAAAUGUACUAGGAUAAGCUUUGAAUGCAUGUAAAUACAGAACUAAGAGUAAACAACCGUGGGAAUUAUUGCUACGGAUCAGAAUGCAAACAUAAGUCUUGAGAAUGUAAAAUUAACAGAACUCACCAAAGGUAUGAGUUUAAGAGGUCUGUUACAUUGAUGUGUGUUUCAGUUUUUGUGCCAGUACCAUGCUGUUUUUAUUACUGUAGCUUUGUAGUAUAGUCUGAAGUUAGGAAGUGUGAUACCUCCAGCUUUGUUCUUUUUUCUCAAGAUUGCCUUGGUCAUUCAGGGUCUUUUGUGAUUCCAUAUAAAUGUUAUGAUUAUUUGUUCUAGUUCUAUGAAAAAUAUCAUGGGUAUUUUGAUAGAGAUUGCAUUAAAUCUGUAGAUUGCUUUGGGCACUCUGGACACUUUAACAAUAUUAAUUCUUCCAAUCCAUUUCUUUCUAUUGCUUUCAAAUUGCUUUAUCUCAACAUCACUAAUCAUCAGAAAAAUGCAUAUCAAAACCAGAAUGAGAUAUCACCUCACACCUGUCAGAGUGGCUAUCAUAAAAAAGACCACAAAUAACAAAUGUUGGCAAGGAUGUGAAAAAAAGGGAAGGUUUAUACACUGUUAGUGGAAAUGUAAAUUAGUGCAGCCACUGUGAAAAACAGUAUGGAGUUUUCUCAAAAAACUAAAAGUAAAGCUGCCAUAUGAUCCAACAAUGUCACUGCUGGUAUAUAUCUGAAGAAAAUGAAAACAAUAAUUCGAAAAAAUAUAUGCACCCCAAUGUUCAUGGCAGCAUUAUUUACAAUAGCCAAGAUAUGGACACAACCUAAGUGUCCACCAACAGAAGAAUGGAUAAAGAAGAUGUGAGGUAGAUAUAUAGAUAUGUGUGUGUGUGUGUGUGUAUAUAUAUAUAUAUAUAUAUAUAUAUAUAACAUGGAAUAUUACUAUAUAUAUCUAUAUAUCACACAUGGAAUAUUACUCAACCAUGAAAAAGAAUUAAAUUGUGUCAUUUGCGAAAGUGUGGUUGGACCUAGAGAGUACUAUGCUUAGUGAAAUAUCAGAUAAAGACAAAUACUAUAUGUUAUCACUUAUAUGUGGAAUCUUAAAAAUAAAUAUGUAUAUAUAAAAACAGAUGCACAAAUAUGGAGAACACACUAGUGAUUAUCAGUAGGGAGAGGAAAUGAGGGAGGAGCAGGAUAGGGGUAUGGGAUUAAGAGAUACAAACUACUAUGUAUAAAAUAGAUGAGCAACAAGGGUAUAUUGUACGGCACAGGGAAAUAUAGCCACUAUUUUUAAUAACUUUAAAUGAAGUAUCUAUAAAAAUAUUGAAUCACUAUGUUGUACACCUGAAACUAAUAUAAUAUUGUAAAUCAACUAUACUUCAAAUAAGUAAAUAUUAAAAAUGAAAGAAAAUGUACUACUGGAGGGGACAAUUCAACUCAUGGAACUUUCACUCAAAUGAUAGUAAACAUCUUACAUUUCUGCACAGUGCUGAUAUGGUAAGAAAAAAAGAAUAUGUCCUCUUCUUGGAUUUACAUAUAUUGUUUAUGAUUUUGCUUUUCUCUUUUUAAUGGCACCAUACCUACUUCUUCUGAAUCUAUAAAUUAUAGUUUUCACACAGAAAUCUCUCUGAUGGUGAUGAAAACCAUGUUUAAGAGCCAGCCAGAUGACUUACGCAUUUUCUGUUUUGUACAUACAUAUAUGAUUUUCAUGGGGUAGGGAGGGGUUAGGGAGAAGGGGAAAAAAACAACUAUCAUGAAUGUUGAACCUGUCUAGUUAUUCUAGAAUCUAUCAUUGUUCCUUUGAAGAAAUUCAACAUUUGCCUUACAACCAGAGAAUAAACAUCAGCUGCUAGAGAAAGCUAUUGAAUUUCAAAAUCCCUUUGAAAUGUCACGUUAACCUGUUUAACUUUCAGUCAGUUCUUUAAAGCACCAAACAUUUCCUGAUGACUCCCAGAUCUAAGACUGCUUAUAUUUCUCUAACUUAAAAGUUUGUUUCCUUCACUUGCAAACGAACUGUGGUGAAUGAAUCAGCGCUGUUUAGACCUGGGAGAAGUGUAUCACAGCUGCAAUCUGUGUGCAAUCGUUCUGCAGGUUAGUUCAAUUUGUGAACAUUGAACAGGGUCAAAUGUAAAAUCUGGUCAUUUGACUAAAACUACAUGGCUCUGGCCUUUUAUUUAGCUCUCCAUUAAAUUUUAAUCUUUAAAGCUGUAUUUGUUUCACUUACUAUCUUUUAUUCUGAGAUAUGUAGAAAUCAGACAACCAUUAAUUUAUUAUUUGACUCAGCAACAUCUAUUGAGUGUCUGUUUGCUAGGUGCUGGGGGUAAAAGUGAAAAGAAAUGGUGUGCCCCUUGUUCUUGAAGAACCACAUUAUAGUAUAAACUGAGACAGUUAUGUAAGUUCUGAAAAGUUAGAAUAUAACAGGCUAAAUACUAUAAUAGAGGUUAAAAUUCUAUAAGAACACAAAGGAAUGAAUAAAUGAAUGAAGUUUUCUUCUUCCAGGCAGAACUGGAUUUAUGGUCAGCCCUUCAUAUCUGUGGGUUCUGUAUCUGUAUCCAACCAACCUUGGGUCGAAAAUAUUUGGUAAAAAAAUAACCAGAAAGUUGUAAAACGCAAAAUUUGUAUUUGCCUCAUUCAGGAAACUACAUAGUAUUCACACUGUAUUAGGUAUUAUAAGUAAUCUAGAGAUUAUUUAAAGUAUACAAGAGGAUGUACAAAUACUAUGCCAUUUUGUAUAAGGAAUUUGAGCAUCCAUAGAUUUUGGUAUCCGUGGGGGUCCUGGAACCAAUCGCCCAUGGAUACCAAGGGAUGUAUAACUGGUCCUUUUAGUGUGAGAGCAAUAGGAAUUGUGUGCUGAAUCAUCAGUAGCUUUGUUUCCUGGGACGUAAUAUCAGGUGGCCUUUCCUUGUAAUGUCAUUAAUAGUCUUCCUGCCUUACACUUAUUGUUAGUUAUACUUGUUCUUUGAACUUUAUGAACUUUGAUUUCCAUGACCCGUGAAUGCACAUUAUUGAGAAGACUAAUAUUCUUAGACAUGGAUGGCCACCUAACAGUAAUUGUGGUAUAACCUAUCUGAAUGAGCCAUUUCAUCCUAGAAUUAGAAUUCUUAAUAUUUUUGAAGCCAUUGUCUUUUUUGAGAAUCUAAUUAAAAUUAGAGUCUCUCUAUAUGAAAAAGCACAUACACAUUAAUUUUGUAUAAUAUCAAGGGGUUUAUAAAACACCCUCAUGUCUAUGAUGGGCUCCAGUUCAAUGACUUUUGCACUAGAGAAACAUCUCGAUUCAAGCCAUAUUUCCCAAAUCUGACCCUGUGACAGUCAAAGGAUAAAUGUUGACAAUUUCUACCUAUUAAACUCAUUUGGCUCAUUCAUUCCUGAUGCUUCAAGUUUCCUACUUUGUUUUAGAGGAUUCCAAUCUUGGCAUCAACCAACCUGGGCAGUGUCCCAGUAAGGCUAAUCUGGGCUCCUGUAGGAGUUUUGUGCUAGACACAAAGAAUAGAAGGGAUGAAAUGAUUUCUGAGGGUCUGAGUAGAUCAAAUACUCCAGACUAGUGCUGUCUGUUAGAAAUAUAAUGCAAGCCACCAAUUUGAGCCACAUUGUAAUUUUAAAUUUUGAGAAGCCACAUUGAGAAAAGUAAAAGAGAAUAAUUGAAAUUAAUUUUAAUAGUAUAAUCUAGUUAAAUUAAUAUAUCCAAUAUAUUUUAACAUAUAAUCAACAUAAAAAUAAGAUAGUUUACAUUCCUUUUUUUUAUACUAAGUCCUUAAAAUCCGGUAUGUGUUUUACACUUACAGCACAUCUCAAUUUGGACUUGCUACAUUUCAAGAAUUAUAGGUUCUUGAAAGCUAUAGGUGUCUAGUAGCUACCAUAUUGGACAGCACAGUUUUAAAUCUGGAAUAAAUGUCAAUUUUUCUGUAUAUCUGGCUUUGUUAUAUCAGUGAUCAGCUUUUCACCUUUCAAGAAACCCUCUCCCCCAUAAUAACUAUCUGGUAAUAAAUGAAUGAACAGUUUCUUCUAUUGUACUGUAUCACACAUGGAGGAGGAUAUAAGCCAUACCCCCUGAAGUCAUGCAGUGCAGUGAUCCUGAUAAUGAAGAAGCUACAUCUUUUCAUUCCUCUUCUGUAAUGGGCCAGUGGAUUUGGUGCAGCUACAAAACAGCCUUAAAAAUAAAAUAACCCAAACAGAUCUUUGUACCCACAUCCAAAAUCAAGCAAAUUCAUUCUAACAUCCUCUCUAAAAAUUGUUUCAGCCUGACUAUACCAGGGUUGCCGUUCAAAUCAGCAUUAAAAGUUGAGUGUGAAUUCUGGGUAAAUCGGUGCAUUCCUGAUGAGGAGCAAGUAACCACAGCAUAUAUGAAACCAGGAAUGGUGCUUAUAAUGAAAGAUAUUUAAAGUUAAUGAUUAUUCUUUUAAAGGGGGAUGGGUAUUCUCUCCCCAUCCCCUUCACCACACAAAAAAAUAUUGCUAUCUUAUUCAGGUAUUAUAGAGCAUUUACCUGAAUAGUUUUGAAGACUAAAUGCCAAAACUGCAGUUCAUAUGCAGCAGCUAUUUUACAGAGACAUCUUUAGCAUGAUUCCUCAGUUAAACUACUUCUUAUAUGCAUUUCAUUUUUAGAAUAAUAAUUUUCUUGCCAUCAAAUGGAAAAACUUCCCCCCAAUUUUUCCAGGCACCAUUUUUUUUUUAAUCCAGUGAAGUGCUCUGUUGUGUUUUUAAAUGGCAUCGUUUGGAACAGACACAUCAUCCUUUGAGGAAAGGACACACUGUUAAGUUUGUUAAAAGCUAUAAUGGGCAUCUUGAAUCUUUUUCUCAGAGGUAAAAAAAACCCUCAUGCUAGCAGUUAAUAAUCAUUAAUAAGAAUUUUUUAAAAUAAUGGCUACAAUAUUGUAGUGUUAAUUGCAUUACUCACUGAAAGAAAUGCAAUGAGUCAUAUUUUAUAGUUGUUACUUAUGCAAUUUGGAGAACUUUUUAGGCACUUGAUAAAGAAUGAGAGGACUCCAAACCGGGUAAAAUGAGUCUAGAAAAAUAAUUUCCUUUCUUUAAUAAGGUUUAGGAAAUUUGCAAUUAAGAAGGCUAAAGCAACCUGAAAAUGCAGCAUGGAUUCAUAGUCUUUUCAAACUCAACAGGACCUCAGCAGGAUCAGUUGAUUUCAAUUGUUCCCAACCUUUUCAAAAUCAAAGACACUUGGGACUUCCCUGGUGGUGCAGUGGUAAAGAAUCCACCUGCCAAUGCGUGGGACACGGGUUCGAGCCCUGGUCAGGGAAGAUCCCACAUGCCACAGAGCGACUAAGCCCGUGUGCCACAACUACUGAGCCUGCGCUCUAGGGCCCGCGAGGCACAACAACUGAAGCCCACGCUCCUAGAGCCUGUGCUCCACAGCAGGAGAAGCCACUGCAAUGAGAAGCCCACGCACCACAACAAAGAGUAGUCCCCUCUCGCUGCAACUAGAGAAAGCCUGUGCACAGCAACGAAGACCCAACACAGCCAAAAAUUUAUUAAAAAAAAAAAAAUCAGACCCUUUUGCUAUUCCUCAUUACCAGCUUUUCCCACAACAUGAACCUAAUGUUUAAGGAAAAAAAUGUGUUUUUCUACCAAAUAUAAAUAAAGUUUAUUUCCCUAUUAGUGUAAAGCAUAUACAAUUACAAAGCAGCUUCUGCUGAGUGUAAAACAAUGUGUGUUACAAUGAUGGAUCAAAAUAAUUCCAGAGAAAAUGAACACAGUUAUGUGAUAUUUAAGUUAGCCUCCACAGAUGGACCAGACAAAACACAGAAGACUUAACUACAUUAAGAAGCCAAAGCAAGUUGGUGCAUUCUCCAGGAUUAGUUGUCCAUGUUUAUUUACUGCAGACUGAUAAGUGUGCUCACAGCUCAGCUCAAAAAUGCCAGAUUCCUUAGUAACUAAAAGAAUAUUGAUACUUCAAAAAGAACGAGGUGAAGUACUAAAUGCUUGAAUUUAAGCUCCUUCACACCUCUCCUUGUAAUAACCUUCACCUCUUCUAACAGUUAAAUCCUUUUCAUCAUCCAAAACUCAAAUGUUCUGGCCAUGAGAAGGCUGCCUCCUACUACAGGGAGCAAAAUUGACUAAGGGUCCAAGCUGCUGCUCUCUGAAGUUCAUCCCUGCAUUUGCACUGAGGCUGUGCCUACUGUGGGCUGCUUCCCACCAAUAAUUGAGUGAGGUAGGAAUGCAAAUACAGACCCAUUUCUGAGAGAUGGGGAGUACUUGACAGUCAGCUUUGACUGAAGGACUCACAAAUGGCUCUGCUGAAACUUCCAUCCAAACUUCCUUACCUCUCCUUACACAGGGUCAGACUUGCAUCACAGUCUGAUGGCUCUCCCAGACUUCUUCAGCUUCCUCCUUAUUUCCUUUCAUGCAGGUAGUUCUCUUAAUAAACUCUGUGCACAUUUAAUUCUGGCUUGGAGUCUACUUCUCAGAGGGCCUGGACGAAUACAUCAGCUCAAAUGGCUCUUUCAAUUUCUCAAACUGCAUGUGCUCAUAACACUGUACAAAAGAAGAGGAAGUGGCCCAUCAUAAUUUGGUCCCACAUCAUCUCCCCAUCUGCCUUUACCAUCUCUGUGUGUUCUAGGUACACCCAACUCACUACAGUGCUCAACACUCUACACAUUUGAAAAUGUCUCCUAUGCCUAAAAUUACUUCCUCUGUAGUUAUAUAACAACUUCAUUUUACCAGACUACAUGCAUAUCAUCUCCUUUGGUAAACCUUCCCUGACAUCUCAGAGCAGAAUUUAGAGUGUCCUCCUCUUGCACCCAUAUUUUACUUACUUUAGCUUUCAUCAUCUUGGCAUUUUUAAAGAUGAGCCAGUUGUUUUUUAGAAUAUCUUAUUUAAUUUAUUAACAGUUAUAUUUUUAUUUUUUAUUUGGCCAGUUAGAGUCCCUUCAAUUUUACUUCUGUGUUCUUUUGAUACGCCCUCAUCCUGCUUUGAGCAUUUCCUUAAUUUCUGUUACCAAAGAUGUUCCACGCUAAUCAUCUUUCCCAGUUCCAGCCCUGGAUUCAGUCAUUUCUUCAAGGAGUCCUGUUCAUUUUACUAUUUGAAACUAAGAUAUGAUCACUAGGUGCUCAUUACUACUGGGAUGCCACUGUUUCCAAGCCCAAUUAGCAGAUGGCUAGGAACUACACAUACAUUUAUAUUUAUUUCUGUAUCUAUCUGUAAUAACUAUUUUUUGAAUAAUAUCUGUUUUAAAAAGGAGAGAGCAGUCUUCAGGCUUAGAGUCUUCUGUAAGGAAUCAUCUCUCUUUAGAAUCUAAUAACACUGUUAACACUGUUUAAUUGUGAAUGUGUUUAAAGUUACCUGAUCUAUUUCUUUCCUUUAAAUAUAUUUUUAAAUGAGGAAAAAGUUACAUAUUUUAUUUUAUUAAUAAAUUAUUUAUUUAUUUAUUUAUUUAUGGCUGUGUUGGGUCUUCAUUGCUGUGCGCGGGUUUUCUUUAGUUGCAGUGAGCAGGGGCUACUCUUUGUUGCGGUGCAUGGGCUUCUCAUUGUCAUGGCUUCUCUUGUGGAGCAUGGGCUCUAGGAAUGCAGGCUUCAGUAGUUGUGGCAGGUGAGCUCAGUAGUUGUGGCUUGCAGGCUCUAGAGCUCAGGCUCAGUAGUUGUGGCACACAGGCUUAGUUGCUCCGUGGCAUGUGGAAUCUUCCCAGGCCAGGGCUCGAAUCCGUGUCUCUUGCAUUGGCAGGCAGAUUCUUAACCACUGUGCCACCAGGGAAGCCCAAAAGUUACAUAUUUUAAUCAGUAGUUCUGUAUAUAUACCAGAUUGAGAUGUAGAACAUUUUCAUCUCCCUAGAAGUUGUCAGUCAAUCUCCACCCUCUAUAGGCAUCCACUCUUCUGAUAUAUAUCAGAAUUGGUUUUGCUUCCUUUGUAAAUAUUUUUAAGGAAAAAUAAAAGUGAUAAUAAAUUAAAUAAGAUUAUAAACGGUAAAGAUGAUGUGAGGAGUAUAGAAUAGCACAGAAGACAUUGCAUAAAUGAUGGGAGUUUGGCCACAAUGGUUUGUUUCAUGGACAUCUUAGCCUUAGAAAUGUUGCUGUUGCUGUUACGGAGAUGGCCACCAAUGGUAUUCAAGCUAUGGCCUUCCCACUCCACUCUUUCUAUAUGUACUCAUCCUUUAAACAUCUAUUAUAUACCUACUAUGUGCUGUGUGAUCCAGGGGCUGUAGAUAAAUAAGAAACAAUGCCUGUACCCAAAAUAGAGAUGAUCAGCAUAACCUGAUCCAUGGAAUUGUUUACAAAUAUGGCCACAAAUUCUUGUGGCCACCUUAUGGAUGAUGGUCAAAAUUCACAAAUCCACGGAUAUGCAGGAGGACAAUUUUGGAGGCAGUUGAAAGAAAUGAGAAAAAAAGGAAAAGCAAAGAGGGUAGAAUUCCUAUUUUGUAAUUUGCAUAUGGUUUUUAAUAAAUACAAAUUGUUUUAUUAUAAAAUUACAUCUGGCAUUAAAAUAAAAGGGACAACCAUACUCUACAACUUAAGCAUAUUAAACACCAUAUCAAUACAAAUGUGCUGACACAGUUAUUCCUCCCAUGGUAAAAUCCAGCUAGAAAGAAAAUUAAUUUGGAUUGAAAUUGUUUGGAUAAGAGCUAAAUGGCGAUACAUUCCUUCUUUUACUCUACUUGUUUUUGCCUUCGUAUACGUUUAUUGUCCAGCAACUGACUCAGUUUUGUACUGCAGUUAGCACAUUGUGAAAGGCACAAAGAUGAACACAAAGUGAUGCUGUCAACCAAUCAACAGGUAUUCCCUGACUGUCUGGGCCAUGUUCCCACAGAGAAAAUGCUCUCCUUAGGGGAAUCAAUUAUGCUUACAAUUUUUAAUUUUACAAUACUUUUGAGAGAUAGGGAUUAUAAACUCCCACAUAAACAUUUCCUACAUUAACUAUUAAAAUAUAUUCACAGUAGGUCAUUGGUUACCAAGCAACUUUUAUUAACAAAUAUCACUAAAUUCCCAUAUCCUACAUGAAUUUGAGAAGCUUAGCCGUUCUGGAAAGUGGAAUAAAUUCUACUAAAUUCUUUUUACAGAGAAUAGGGAAAUGUCAGAAGGAUCGACUUUACUUGUAAAACCUAAUGAAAUUUGAGACAGACUACUUAAAGCUAUAAAUUCAGAAACAAUCAUUUAUCAAUGCAAAUAAAUAAGCAACGUGAACAUCUGGAAUCUUUUUUCUAGCUCUUUGCCCUACUUCUCUAUAACAGUAUCUCAGUAUCUGCCUCACUGGGAUCAAUGAGAUAGUGUGUGUAUGUGGGUGUGUGUGAGAGAGAGAGAACGAUAGAGAGAGAGUGUAUGUGGUUUGUAAAGCAUGGCACAACUAUCCAAGUGUAAAAUCUUCAUAAGUCUGUACACUUUGCUAUACAAAAACAUAGUAUAACACGUGUCCUUGCAUUUGAGUAUCGUUUAAGUGUAAACUUAAGGCAGUUUAAUGUGACAGAACAGUAUUCAACACUCAUGUAUAAUGGUGAAUGAGGCAUGACAGGAAAUUUAUAACAGCAAAAUUAUCAUAGAUAGCCUUGAGAGGUCUUAAAUAUAGACAACUCAUGGUUAGGAAGGCUCUAAAGCCAAAGCUUGAGAGAGACUAAGUGUUAUAAGCUCUGUUGGAAGGCUCACUUGGCCUGGAGCCACGAAGCAAGUUACUUGUUCUCUUUGCCUUGAUUUCCCUCACAUGGAUGUCAUGGUUACAAAGGUGAAACUGGCUCUGUAGAUGAACGUUAUGAGACAGAGGGUAAGGUAUAGAUAGUGUAGUUCUUUGUGAAGUAAUUUAUUAUUCAAUUUACAUUAAGUGAACUUCAUUUCUUUGCAAGUUGAGCUUGGGAAUCUGAAUUCUUUUAGCGAUGCCCCAGGACCUAACCUCCACCUCUUCACAGCACAGGUGAGAAAAUGCUGCCUGAUCUUUCUUUUGGGAGGAGGGACUGUUUAGGCAAAAUGGUUAACUCAUGAAUCAGUCCACAUGGCUCUCUUACUUUGGUGCUCCUACAGGAACACAAGGCGGGAGGAGAGAACAGAGGGAGAAUGGGAUAUUGGAGUAGUAAAGAAGUUGGCCAUGUCCCUUUUCCCACUGCUAAGUUAUAGACUUCUUGGGUCAUUCCAUACAAGAGAAGAGAGGAGCCUAAAAUUGGAUGAGAGGUUGGAUGUUGUUUUAGAUUGAUUUUUAAUAUUUGAAAAUGAUGCUGUUUUAUUAUUAUCCAGAAAUGGCCAGAAAAUCUAUAGAAUUGGCUUGAGAGGACAGAGAAGAAGGACCUAGUAGAAUGGUUUGAGGACAGCAGUAGAAAUAAAAAAUAAAACUGCCUUUAUGGUUUCCUUCUUACUACAGCUCAUUCAACAAACAGAAGCAAGAAGGGUCAGAGCAGUAAACAUUGCUACCCAUUCAGUGACAUAGAACUUAAGGGAAAACAGUGAGUGGUGCUAUAACUGGGUACAUUUCUUUUCAAUUUUACAAAACUUAUUUUAAAAUCAGUUUUGAACUUUUAAUCCCUUCAUGUAUGUUUUGAGUUUGCCAAAUUAUGCUGCCAAGAAAAAGGUGCUGAGAACCACAGUGGAAGGGAAUAGGAGACAUGGAAUUCAGUGGAAUAUUGAGACUGAGCACAGAUUUAAAAAAUCAUCAGCACAGAGGUGGUUGAGAUGACCUUGUUUGCCUAUCCCUGGACCUGUUUUCAGUUUCGGCUUUAGAUAGAUAUAGUCGUAUAAUUUCAUGCCUAGCUCACUGUUUUAAAGGUGGCUCUCUUGAAACAUUUUGCAAAAAUUCAUACUUGUCAAUAGAUUCUGGAAUUUUUCUGGGCCGUGUCAGUCUAAGGGCCUGGAAAUUUCACUGAAGAAUUCCAUUUGAAGAAUUUCAUUUAUGUGACAAUUUGGAACUAUUUUGUAGGUUAAAGUUAGUUCUGCAAGACCAGGCCUUCUUGGUCUUUGGAGGAAAUCCAUCAUUCAGUUGGUUAAAAUUCCUGAGCAUUGGUUUCUUCAUUGCUAGAAAACCCACUAAUACUUAACAGGUUUGUGGGAAGAUCAAGACAAAAGAAUAUAUACCAUGGGAUACAGGGCCCCCCAUGUUUUGGAUUCUCCCUACCUGUCCAACUUUAUCUCACACCAUCUUUUUCCUUCACUCACUACCUUUCUGGCACACUAGCUGCCUUUCUCUUCCUCAAACACAUGAGGCUAUUUCCCACCCCAGGGCCUUUGCAAGUGUUCUUCUCUCUACAUGUAAUUUUUUAUCCCUCUAGCUCUUUGCUCCAUAUCUUUCAGGCCUCCUCUCAAUAUGAUCUUCUCAGUGAGGUCUUUUCUUGCCUUCUAUCUAAGUUGCCUCUGCUGGAUAUUUAGUAUCUCAUAAGCUUGCUUGUAUCUCUCAUAUCAUUUUUUACACUCUGUAAUUAUGUUGCCCAUUUAUGUAUUUACUUUGUUUUUACCUGUCUUCUCCCGCUGAAUUUCAUGAUAUUUUUCAUUGAAGCAUAAUGGACAUGUAACAUUAUAUUAGUUUCAGGUGUACAACAUAAUAAUCUGAUAUUUGUAUAUAUUGCAAAAUGAUCAUAAUAAAUCUAGUUAACAUCUGUCACCAUACAUUGUUCAAAAUUAUUUUUUCUCAUGAUGAGAACUUUUAAGAUCUAGUGUCUUAACAAAUUUCAAAUAUACAACACAGUAUUAUUAACUAUAGUCAUCAUGCUGUACAUUACAUCUCCAUGACUUAUUUAUUUAAUAACUGGAAGUUUGUAUCUUUUGACCCCCUUCACCCGUUUCUCUGAUUCCCCCCAGCCCCUCCCUCUGGCAACCACUGAUCUGUUCUCUGUAUCUAUGAGCUCAUUUUGUUUUUCUUUUUAGAUUCCACAUGUAAAUGAGAUCAUACCGUAUUUGUCUUUCUCUCACUUAUUCCACUUAGCAUAAUGCCCUCAAGUCUCAUCCCUAUUGUAGCAAAUGGGGAGAUUUCAUCCUUUUUAUGGCUGAAUAAUAUUCCACUGUGUAUGUAUGUAUAUACAUGUAUGUGUGUAUAUCACAUUUUAUCUAUUUAUCCAUUGAUAGACACUUAGCUUGUUUCUAUAUCUUGACUAUGGUAAAUAAUGCUGCAGUGCUGCAGUGAACAUGGAGGUGUAUAUAUCUUUUCAAGUUAGUUUUUUCUGUUUUUUUUAGAUAAACACUCAGAAGUGAAAUUGCUGGAUCAUACAGUAGUUCAAUUUUUAACUUUUGAGGAACUUCCAUGUUGUUUUCCAUAGUGGCUGCAGCAGUUUACAUUCCCACCAACAGUGCACAAGGGUUCCCUUUUCCCUACAUCCUAACCAACGUUUGUUAUUUCUUAUCUUUUGAUAACAGCCACUCUUACAGGUGUGAGAUGACAUCUCAUUGUGGUUUUGAUUUGUAUUUCCCUGAUGAUUUGGAUUUCAAGAUCUUUGAGAUAAAAAACCUUAUCUGUCUUGUUUACUGCAGUGCCCAAGAUAGCUAAUACAGUGCCUGGCACACAUUAGACACUCACUACAUGUUUGUGGAAUGAAUGACAAAUGUUAGAUUGAACAUUUUGAAAUAAUAAAAAUGUAAAGAAAAGUAGUUUAUGCUCUUUCUGAGAAAUUGCACAGGCAUAUUUAUAUGAAGGCAUAAAAAGGAGAUAGGAGAAAGGUCUCCCUAUAGGAAAGGUUCUAAAGGCCAGGGUUUGUUUAGAAAGCCAAGCCAGAAGCUCUGACUGAGGUGGACAAUGGCCUGGCAUUCUCUGACCCCAAAGGUGGCUCCUUCAAAGCAGUGGCAUGAAUUUUCACUUGGCGGAGCAUUUCAGACCAGAUGAACCAUGCCAAACCAAAGGGCUGGGAGCAAAAGCAUCAUUUUCAUGAUGUCAUUUUGUAGAGCUAUCUCGAAUGAUUUCACAGGUUAAUACUAGCAUCUCUUGGUAUUUAGAGCUAACUACCUUUAAGCCAUAAUUUGUCAUCUUCAAAUUAAUCGGAGACCCAGAUGGCAUCCUGGCUGAACCAGGAUGUGCUCCUGGGAAGAAGAGGCAUUACCUGGCAUGGUUGUGGCUGACACAGGCCCUGGUAUGCUGGCCUCAGGACUCAUUUCUUGAGGAGACUGGGCACAUUCAGCUCCACACUUGGGCCUGGUUCCAUGGACAUGUCCAGAACCUCACAGUUGCUAAUACCAUCCUGGCUCACUCCACACAGAACAUUUUUUCUCUUUUUCAUUUCCUGCUUCUGGUAGGCAGAACUUUUGCUUACAACUUUGGAAGGAGUAUAUCACUUAUAGGCAGGUAGAAUAGACUGAAGGACAGUAGACUUUGGAUUUACACGUGGUUCUCUGGCUUUACCACUUGCAAAUUCUACGAUCUUUGCAAAAUCACUUAACCUGACUGAGAUUUUCUCCUCUAUAAAUGCAGAAGAUAUCACUAAAUAGAGUAUUUCUGAGGAUUCCAUAAAAUAGUAUGUAUGAAUGUGUUUGACACAUAAAUAUUUCCUUUUCUUCUCCCUCUCUUUUUUCUUUCCCAUGUAGUUGAUGUAUAAUGUCUCUGGAUACUGGCAGAACCAGCACUAAUGGUCAGAAACUGGUUCUCAAGCCAUGUAGUCUUGAUUUUACAUCCCAGGAUUCCCUGUCCACCUCUACGUUAACUGACUACACUAAGAUAUAGUGGGAGGUUCAAAUGAAAGUAAGCCACAAAUUAGGACUAAGUGACUUUGAUCAUCUUACCUAGUGCAGAGAAAUCUUUAUUUCUUUCUUUUAAAUUUAUUUAGUUUAAUUUAUUUAUUUUGGGCUGCAUUAGGGCUUUGUUGCUGCAUGCGGGCCUUCUCUAGUUGUGGCAAGUGGGGGCUACUCUUCGUCGUGGUAUGCAGGCUUCUCACUGUGAUGGCUUCUCUUGUUGCAGAGCACAGGCUCUAGGCACACGGGCUUCAGUAGUUGUGGCGCGUGGACUCAGUAGCUGUGGCUCACGGGCUGUAGAGCACAGGCUCAGUAGUUGUGGGACACGGGCUUAAUUGCUCCAUGGCACAUGGGAUCUUACCAGACCAGGGAUCAAACCUGUGUCCCCUGCAUUGGCAGGCAGAUUCUUAACCACUGUGCCACCAGGGAAGUCCGAAAUCUUUAUUUCAUUAGGCAUUGCCUUAGAGUUUAGUACAUCUUCUUGUACUGUUUCCAAAGAAAUCAACCAGCAAAGAGAGAGGAAUAGUAUACAUAUGUCAGGUGUAGUAGACAGAAUUUUGACCCCAUGACUUUUUCUCUCUCUGGUGUUACACCCAUGUAUAUGUUACAUGGCAGAAGGGACUUCACAGAUGUAAUGAAGGUUACUAAUCAGUGGACCUUAAGAUAGGGAGAUUACAUUAUCUCUUUAAAGCAGGAGGGAAAUCUGAGAUAUGCAAAACAUGAGAAUGAUUCUGUGCUAUUGUUGGGUUGAAGACACGGUAUCAUAUGUCAAGGAAAUGGGAAUCUCAGUCCUACAGCCACAUGGAACUGGAUUCUGCCAAUAACCAUUGAGCAUGGAAGAGGAUCUUGGGCCUCAACAGGCAGAGAACUACAACCCUGGCUGACACCUUGAUUUUACCCUUGUGAAACCCUAAACACAAAAUACAGUCAUAUCAUGCUGUACUUCUGACCUACCAAAACUGUGAGAUAAUAAAAAGUGUUGUUUUAGGCCAUUAUAUUUGUGGUAAUUUCUUACAGAAUCAGUUUUUAAAAAAUACACCAGGCUUGGAACUUUCUCCAAAGCAUGAUAACAAUAAAAAUUAAUCAGGAGGGGAGCUUCAAGAUGGUGGAGGAGUAAGAUGUGGAUAUCACCUUCCUCCCCACAAAUACAUUAAACAUAACUCUACAAGUGGAACAACUCCUAUAGAACACAUACUGAACACGGGCAGAAGACCUCAGACUUCCCAAAAGGCAAGAAACUCCCCACGUACCUGGGUAGGGCAAAAGAAAAAAGAAAAAACAGAGACAAAAGAAUAGGGACGGGACCUGCACCAGUGGGAGGGAGACAUGAAGGAGGAAAGGUUUCCACACACUAGGAAGCCCCUUCAUUGGCAGAGAUGGGAGGUGGAAGUGGGGGAAGCUUUGGAGCCACAGAGAAGAGCACAGCAACAGGGGUGCGGAGGGCAAAGCAGAGAGAUUCCCGCACAGAGAAUCAGUGCCGACCAGCACUCACCAGCCUGAGAAGCUUUUCUGUUCACCCUCCAGGACGGGUGAGGACUGGAAGCUAGGACUCGGGCUUCAGAGGUCAGAACCCAGGGAGAGGACGGGUUGGCUGUGUGAACACAUUCUGAAGGAGGCUAGUGCGCCACAGCUAGCCGGGAGGGAGUCCGGGAAAACGUCUGGAGCUGCCUAAGAAGCAAGAGACAAUUGUUUCAGGGUGCGUGAGGAGAGGGGAUUCAAAGCACUGCCUAAGCCAGAUCCAGAGAUGGGUGCGAGUCAUGGCUAUCAGUGCGGACACCAGAGAUGGACAUGAAACACUAAGGCUGCUACUGCAGCCAACAAGAAGCCUGUGUGCGAGCACAGGUCACUAUCCACACCUCCCCUCCUGGGAGUCUGUGCAGCCCGCCACUGCCAGGAUCCUGUGAUCCAGGGACAACUUCCCUGGGAGAACACACGGCGUGCCUCAGGCUGUUGCAACGUCAUGCUGGCCUCUGCUGCAGCAAGCUCACCCCACAUUCUGUACCACUCCCUCCUCCCAGCCUGAGUGAGCCAGACCCCCCUAAUCAGCUGCUAAUUUAUCCCCAUUCUGUCUGGGUGGGGAAGAGAUGCCCUCAGGUGACCAAAUCAAAAGCUGAACCCCAGGAGCUGUGCGAACAAAGAAGAGAAAGGGAAAUCUCUCCCAGCAGCCUCAGGAGGAGCAGAUUAAAUCUCCACAAUCAACUUGAUGUACCUGCAUCAGUGGACCACCUGAAAGACAACAAAUCAUCCCAAUAUUGAGGUGGUGGACUCUGGGAGCAACCGUAGACUUGAGGUUUGCUUUCUGCGUCAAAUUUGUUUCUGGUUUUAUGUUUAUCUUAGUUUAGUAUUUAGAGCUUAUUUUCAUUGGUAGAUUUGUUUAUUGAUUUGGUUGUUCUCGUCCAUUUUUAAAAAAAAUAUAUAUAUAUUUUUUUCCUCUUUCUCUUUUGGUGAAUGUGUAUGUUUCUUUUUGUGAUUUUGUCUGUAUACAUUUGCUUUUACAAUUUGUCCUAGGGUUCUCUCUGUCCAUUUCUUUUUGGUUUAGUUUUUUUAGUACAGUUUUUAGCACUUGUUAUCACUGGGGGAUUUGGGUUUUGGUUUGGUUGCUCUCUUCUUUCUUUCUGUUUUUUAUUACUUUUUAAUUUUUUAAUAAUUUUUAUUUUUUAAAAAUAACUUUAUUUAUUUAUUUUUUCUUUCUUUCUUUCUUUUUCAUUCUCCCUUUUCUUCUGAGCCGUGUGCCUGACAGGGUCUUGGUGCUCUGGCCAGAUUUCAAGCCUGAGCCUCUGAGGUGGGAGGGCCUAGUUCUGAACAUUGCUCCCUGAGAGACCACCCAGCCCUAUGUAAUAUCAAAUGGCAAAGUCUCUGCCAGAGAUCUCCAUCUCAACACUAAGACGCAGCUCCACUCAACGAGCAGCAAGCUACAGUGCUGGACACACCAGGCCAAACAACUAGCAAGACAGGAACACAACCCCACCCAUUAGCAGAGAGGCUGCCUAAAAUCAUAAGUUCACAAACACCCCAAACACACCACCAGGCUCUGUCCGGCCGACCAGGAGGACAAAAUCCAGUCUCAACCACCAGAACACGGACACUAGUCCCCUCGACCAGGAAGCCUACACAACCCACAGAACCAAUCUUCCACACUGGGGGCAGACACCAAAAACAACGGGAACUAUGAACCUGCAGCCUGAGAAAAGGAGACACCAAAAACAGCAAGUUAAGCAAAAUGAGAAGACAGAGAAAUAUGCAGCAGAUGAAGGAGCAAGGUAAAAAUUCACCAGACCAAACAAAUCAAGAGGAAAUAGGCAGUCUACCUGAAAAAGAAUUCAGAGUAAUGAUAGUCAAGAUGAUCCAAAAUCUUGGAAAUAGAAUGGAGAAAUUACAAGAAAUGUUUAACAAGGACCUAGAAGAACUAAAGAGCAAAUAAACAACAAUGAACAACACAAUAAAUGAAAUUUAAAAUUCUCUUUAAGGAAUCAAUAGCAGAAUAACUGAGGCAGAAGAACAAAAUAACUACCACAGAAAAUAACUACCACAGAGCAGAGUAAACAAAAAAGAAUGAAAAGAAUGGAGGACAGUUUCAGAGACCACUGGGACAACAUUAAAUGCACCAACAUUUGAAUUAUAGGGGUACCAGAAGAAGAAGAGAAAGAAAAAGGGACUGAGAAAAUAUUUGAAGAGAUUAUAGUUGAAAACUUCCAUAAUAUGGGAAAUAAAAUUAAAGUCUAGGAAGCACAGAGAAUCCCAAAGAGGAUAAAUCUAAGGAGAAACAUGCCGAGACACAUAUUAAUCAAACUAACAAAUGUUAAAUUCAAAGAAAAAAUAUUAAAAGCAGCAAAGAAAAAUCAAUAAAUAACAUACAAGGGAAUCUCCAUAAGGUUAAUAUCUGAUCUUUCAGCAGAAACACUGAAUGCCAGAAGGGAGUGGCAGGACACAUUUAAAGUGACGAAAGGGAAAAACUUACAACCAAUAUUCCUCUACCCAGCAAGGAGCUAAUUCAGAUUCGACAGAGAAAUUAAAACCUUUACAGACAAGCAAAAGCUAAGAGAAUUCAACACCACCAAACGAGCUUUACAACAAAUGCUAAAGGAACUUCUCAAGGAAAGAAACACAAGAGAAGGAAAAGACCUACAAUAACAAACAGAAAACAAUUAAGAAAACGGGAAUAGGAACAUACAUAUGCAUAACUACCUUAAAUGUAAAUGGAUUAAAUGCUCCAACCGAUAGACAUAGACUGGCUGAAUGGAAACAAAAACAAGACCUGUAUAUAUGCUGUCUACAAAACACCCACAUCAGACCUAGGGACACAUACAGACUGAAAGUGAGGGUAUGGAAAAAGAUAUUCCAUGCAAAUGGAAAUCAAAAGAAAGCUGGAGUAGCAAUACUCAUAUCACAUAAAAUAGACUUCAAAAUAAAGGCUAUUAUAAGAGACAAAGAAGGACACUACAUAAUGAUCAAGGGGUCAAUCCAAGAAUAUAUAACAAUUGUAAAUAUUUAUGCACCCAACAUAGGAGCACCUCAAUAUAAUGAAAAUGCUAACAGCCAUAAAAGGGGAAAUCGACAGUAACACAAUCAUAGUAGGGGACUUUAACACCCCAUUUUUACCAAUAGACAGAUCAUCCAAAAUGAAAAUAAAUAAGGAAACACAAGCUUUAAAUGACACAUUAAACAAGAUGGUCUUAAUUCAUAUUUAUAGGACAUUCCAUCCAAAAACAACUGAAUACACUUUCUUCUCAUGUGCUCAUGGCACAUACUGCAGGAUACAUCAUAUCUCAGGUCACAAAUCAAUCCUUGGUAAAUUUAAGAAAAUUGAAAUCGUAUCAAGUACCUUUUUCAAACCACAAUGCUAUGAGGCUAGAUAUGAAUUACAGGAAAAACAAAAAAAUCUAAAAAAUACAAACACAUGGAUGCUAAGCAAUACACUACUAAAUAACCAAGAGAUCAUUGAAGAAAUCAAAGAGGAAAUCAAAAAUACCUAGAAAAAAAUGACAAUGAAAACACAAUGGCCCAAAACCUAUGGGAUGCAGCAAAAGCAAUUCUAAGAGAGAAUUUUUUACCAAUACAAUUCUACCUCAAGAAACAAGAAAAAUCUCAAAUAAACAACCUAACCUUACACCUAAAGCAAUUAGAAAAAGAAGAACAAAAAUAAAAACCCCAAAGUUAGCAGGAGGAAAGAAAUCAUAAAGAUCAGAUCAGAAAUAAAUGAAAAAGAAAUGAAGGAAAUGAUAGCAAAGAUCAAUAAAACUAAAAGCUGGUUCCUUGAGAAGAUAAACAAAAUUGAUAAACCAUUAGCCAGACUCAUCAAGAAAAGAAGGGAAAAGACUCAAAUCAAUAGAAUUAGAAAUGAAAAAGGAGAAGUAACAAGUGACACUGCAGAAAUACAAAGGAUCAUGAGAGAUUACUACAAGCAACUCUAUUCCAAUAAAAUGGACAACCUGGAAGAAACGGACGAAUUCUUAGAAAAGCACAACCUUCUGAGACAGAACAAGGAAGAAAUAGAAAAUAUGAACAGACCAAUCACAAGCACUGAUAUUGAAACUGUGAUUAGACAUCUUCCAACAAACAAAAGCUCAGGACCAGAUGGAUUCACAGGUGAAUUCUAUCAAACAUUUAGGAAGAGCUAACACCUAUCCUUAUCAAACUCUUCCAAAAUACAGCAGAGGGAGGAACACUCCCAAACUCAAUCUAUGAGGCCACUACCUCCUUGUUACCAACACCAGACAAAGGUGUUACAAAAAAAUAAAACUACAGGCCAAUAUCACUGAUGAACACAGAUGCAAAAAUCCUCAACAGAAUACUAGCAAACAGAACCCAACAGCACAUUAGAAGGAUCAUACACCAUGAUCAAGUGGGAUUUAGCCCAAGAAUGCAAGGAUUCUUCAAUGUACAAAAAUCAAUCAAUGUGAUACACCAUUUUAACAAACUGAAGGAUAAAAACCAUAUGAUAAUCUCAGUAGAAGCAGAAAAAGAUUUCAACAAACUUCAACACCCAUUUAUGAUAAACACUCUCCAGAAAAUAGGCAUAGAGGGAACUUACCUCAACAUAAUAAAGGCCAUAUAUGACAAACCCACAGCCAACAUCAUUCUCAAUGGUGAAAAACUGAAACCAUUUCCUCUAAGAUCAGGAACAAGACAAGGUUGCCCACUCUUGCCACUGUAUUCAACAUAGUUUUGGAAGUUUUAGCCAUGGAAAUCAGAGAAGAAGAAGAAUUAAAAGGAAUCCAAAUCAGAAAAGAAGUAAAACUGUCACUGUUUGCAGAUGACAUGAUACUAUACAUAGAGAAUCCUAAAGAAGCUACCAGAAAACUACUAGAGCUAGUCAAUGAAUUUGGUAAAGUAGCAGGAUACAAAAUUAAUGCACAGGAAUCUCUUGCAUUCCUAUACACUAAUGAUGAAAAAUCUGAAAGAGAAAUUAAGAGAACACUCCCAUUUACCAUUGCAAAAAAAAAAGAAUAAAA